rnacentral:lncRNA from 1 species
CCUUUGAAUGAUGGUUCUUGGAGUUCUUGAACUAGGAACUUGGAAUCUUGAAUAAAUUUGCAGAAUUAAUGGUGAACUUUAGAGGUUCUUGAAGUUGGAUGUAGGAGCUUAGGGUUUUCUUUUUGAGGGAAUUUGAUGAAAUAUAACAUAUAAUACUUCUAAUAGGCUUUAAUAUAAGGUUUGGACGGAUUUUGGGUGAGGGGGA